GGAGAGGUGGCCGAGUGGUUCAAGGCGUAGCAUUGGAACUGCUAUGUAGAC
rnacentral:tRNA from 1 species